CAAACACGAAGCAUGGUGACCAAGCCAUGUCAUCACACUGGAACCGCAAAAAAGAGAAGAAAGGAAAUGUGCUUCGUCUUCUGCCAGGACACAUUGAUGGCGCUCAGCUAGCCAGCAUCUAGGUCCCACAGAGGGCAGGAGGGAUCUGGAAACACUGAGGUCCCCUCCUGAGAGGCUCAUGCCCUCACAUACUUUCUUAAUAUAAUCAAAAUGGGAGUAAAU
rnacentral:lncRNA from 1 species